CAGUAGCCGCGGGAAUACGUAGGGUGCAAGCGUUAAUCGGAAUUACUGGGCGUAAAGCGUGCGCAGGCGGUCCGCUAAGACAGAUGUGAAAUCCCCGGGCUUAACCUGGGAACUGCAUUUGUGACUGGCGGGCUAGAGUAUGGCAGAGGGGGGUAGAAUUCCACGUGUAGCAGUGAAAUGCGUAGAGAUGUGGAGGAAUACCGAUGGCGAAGGCAGCCCCCUGGGCCAAUACUGACGCUCAUGCACGAAAGCGUGGGGAGCAAACAGGAUUAGACCCCCGUAGUCCCUGUCUCUUAUACAC
rnacentral:rRNA from 1 species